rnacentral:tRNA from 2 species
AAAAUCCGUUGGCUUUANUGACCGUGAGGGUUCAAGUCCCUCUACCCCCA